rnacentral:rRNA from 1 species
UACAGAGACUGCAAGCGUUAUUCGGAUUCACUGGGCGUAAAGGGUGCGCAGGCGGCCGUGUGUGUGAGGCGUGAAAGCCCGGGGCUCAACCCCGGAAUUGCACCUCAAACUACAUGGCUAGAGCAUUGGAGAGGGUAGCGGAAUUCACGGUGUAGCAGUGAAAUGCGUAGAUAUCGUGAGGAACACCAGAGGCGAAGGCGGGUACCUGGACAAUUGCUGACGCUCAGGCACGAAAGCGUGGGGAGCAAAAGGG